GUCCUGCCUGCAGUAGUUAAUUUAUAACAUCAGUGGUGGUAACCUGGCAGGCUGCAUCUGAUAUUUCCAAACUGCUGACAGUAAAAACCUCAGAUGACUUUGGGGAGAAUCAAACAGCAGAGCAGGGGACACUUUGGUCGGGUCCAGGAGAUCCCCAGUCACUCAACAUAUCCCUGGCAGUUCUCCCCUGCUGAGUCGAGUCCUGCUUUACCUUCCGGAGUCGACUACUGGUUUAAAGAAUCACCAUUUUAUCGUGGCUGCCACGGCCUGUGUUGUCCAGAGCUAUAUCUUCUCGUUGGGCCUCCUCCCAAGGCAAACUGGUCCCAGGGGAGGAGCCAGACUAAAAGCGACUCACAGACCAUGUUAAUCUGCUGAGACGGACCUGCGGCACUUCAGCCAGAAUAAAGAAACCGGGGCCCCCUCAUGGAGCCAGACUUGCCGUUGAGUGUCGGACACAUCGCCAAAAACAUACAUGGAGCCACAGCCCUGUGGGCCCCCCACCUGCAGGGAGAGGCAUUGGGAUCGGGUUUAUUGACAGCAGGGCGGAAGGUGAAGGCAGGGACCCGGGGGUGCUGACCCCUGGCAUCACUUCUCUGGCUGGGCAGGAACCAGAGCUGGAGUGGGAGGUCUACUGGUGCCAUGUAGUUAUAACUGGGCCCUAUGCAUGACACUGGGUCUGGAACCAUAAACCCCGGAGAAGGGCUGGACUCCUUUCCUGGAGUUGCCCAGGGGUGAGAGACGCGCUGCUGUCUUCUCCCCAGGGGACAUGAAGGUCGCCUCUGUGCGACUCCGAGUCGCUGAGAGGUCGGCUCUGACUGUGUACCAAACUGCAGGUCGGACUUUCCGGCCUUCUGGGACUCUCUGGGUGGGGUCCUGGAAAAGGGACUCAAUGCUGGAGAAACCUGGAGGAGGGUAAUUUAGAAAUGUACUUGGUACCAGAACAUCUGAGUGGACCUUGUGGUCGUUUCUGCGCCCGUGCGCAUGAAGAGGAGAGUUGAUGGCGUCUGGACUAGAAGGUUUCCUCUCUGAGUUCCUGACAUCUGCACAGACCUGGACUACAUGAGUCCGCGUCACAGAUCUGACACCAUCAUCUGGGAGACGACACAGCAGCAGGAGGAAAAGGUUGACAACCCAGCAUGUACUCUGAGGUCCUCGGGCAGAGGUCUGCUGUCUGUUCCAGGGGCCCGGCGGGAAACUAAAGGGGACAGUUUGCAGUCAGGAACCCGAGGAUCUGGAGCAGCCUGCCCGUGGGGAUCAGUUUUGAAGGGGGCACUUACAGCCUGUGGAUACCCUAAAUGGACCUUUGUGAAAACAGCCAC